rnacentral:rRNA from 1 species
CCUACGGGGGGCAGCAGUGAGGAAUAUUGGUCAAUGGACGAGAGUCUGAACCAGCCAAGUAGCGUGAAGGAUGACUGCCCUAUGGGUUGUAAACUUCUUUUAUAUGGGAAUAAAACGUUCCACGUGUGGGAUUUUGUAUGUACCAUAUGAAUAAGGAUCGGCUAACUCCGUGCCAGCAGCCGCGGUAAUACGGAGGAUCCGAGCGUUAUCCGGAUUUAUUGGGUUUAAAGGGAGCGUAGGUGGAUUGUUAAGUCAGUUGUGAAAGUUUGUGGCUCAACCGUAAAAUUGCAGUUGAAACUGGCAGUCUUGAGUACAGUAGAGGUGGGCGGAAUUCGUGGUGUAGCGGUGAAAUGCUUAGAUAUCACGAAGAACUCCGAUUGCGAAGGCAGUUCACUGGACUGCAACUGACACUGAGGCUCGAAAGUGUGGGUAUCAAACAGGAUUAGAUACCCGAGUAGUC